rnacentral:rRNA from 1 species
CGCAUCUGUGCAUGCAGCAUAUCAAUAAGCGGAGGAAAAGAAACUAACAAGGAUUCCCUUAGUAACGGCGAGUGAAGCGGGAAGAGCUCAAAUUUGAAAUCUUCAAGGUUUUACCUUGACGAAUUGUAGUUUAAAGAAGUGUUUUCUGUUGAAGUUUUGGUAAAAGUUCUUUGGAAUAGGACAUCAUAGAGGGUGAGAAUCCCGUAUUUGAUCCAUUAUUUUCAGCUGUGUGAUACACUUUCAAAGAGUCGGAUUGUUUGGGAAUGCAGUCCAAAAUGGGUGGUAAAUUUCAUCUAAAGCUAAAUAUUGGCGAGAGACCGAUAGCGAACAAGUACCGUGAGGGAAAGAUGAAAAGAACUUUGAAAAGAGAGUUAAACAGUACGUGAAAUUGUCAAAAGGGAAGCGUUUGACACCAGUGUUGUUUUCUCGAAAAUCAAUUAAAAAGAGUUUGAUUUUGUUGUGUAUUGACCUUAACAGCUUGCAUUUCAAUUUUCUUGCUUUUUUUAAUGCACUUUUCGUUUAACAAGUCAACAUCAGUUUCUUUUGUUGUAAAAAGGUCAUUGGAAGGUGGCUUUCUUUUCGGAGAAAGUGUUUAUAGCCUUUGACUCCUGCAAUCGGAGAGACUGAGGUCUGCAGCGUAGAUCCUUCGGGGUUAGAUACAUUUGUGCUAAGUUAUAGCUUUUUAUAGACAACUUGUUGACUAUGAUUAGUCUUGUAGCUUACUCGCUUAUGCUAUUUUACCUACGCUUAGGAUGUUGACACACGCGCGUGCUCGACUCUAUACAUGACUCUGUGCAUAUCAAUAAGCGGAGGAAAAGGCUGCAGAACUGAACGACCGCUACCUACGCUUAGGAUGUUGACACACGCGCGUGCUCGAUGAUAGUCUAUACAUGACUCUGCGCAUAUCAAUAAGCGGAGGAAAAGUAAAUGCUGUAUACCUACGCUUAGGAUGUUGACGAGACUGUCGAUCUCAUCUAUACAUGACUCUGCGCAUAUCAAUAAGCGGAGGAAAAGCCAACUUACCUACGCUUAGGAUGUUGACGAGACUGUCGAUCU